UUUUACUCAACGGAGUGCCUUACAAAAGGCUGAGAGGCGAAAGCUAACCCGCGAACCUGAUCCAGGUCAUACUGGCGGAGGAAUUGGGUAAGAAUAGCGU
rnacentral:ncRNA from 2 species